rnacentral:rRNA from 1 species
GAUGACUUUACCUGAUUUUCCGAGAGGUGGUGCAUGGCCGUCGUCAGUUCGUACCGUAAGGCGUUCUCUUAAGUGAGAUAACGAACGAGACCCUCACCAUUAAUUGCUAGUCCCUUCUCCGGAGGGGGCGCACAUUAAUGGGACCGCUGGCGCUAAGUCAGAGGAAGGAGAGGUCAACGGUAGGUCCGUAUGCCCCGAAUCCCCUGGGCAACACGCGCGCUACAAAGGACGGGACAAUGGGCUUCGACACCGAAAGGUGGAGACAAUCCUGAAACCCGUCCAUAGUUCGGAUUGGGGGCUGUAACCCGCCCCCAUGAAGCUGGAUUCCGUAGUAAUCGCUUGUCAACAUCAAGCGGUGAAUAUGCCCCUGCUCCUUGCACACACCGCCCGUCAAACCACCCGAGUUGGGUUUCAGUAAGGAUGUCUCUCAUUGGGGCUUUCGAACUGAGAUUCAGCAAGGAGGGUUAAGUCGUAACAAGGUAUCUGUAGGGGAACCUGCAGAUG